AGAUAUUGAAAAUCUUCACUUCGAUGUAUGUCUUCAGCUCUUCUCUUGUUCUUAAAAUUUAAUUGAAAAACGCUAAAUUAGAAUAGAUACUAAAUGAAGACAAACUAUUUUUUAAAUACUGUGAGGAUGGCUGAACAAUGGUUGAGUGACUUUGAUUCCGAACUUUCUCACUCUCUCCACAAGAAUUAAAAAAACUAUCCAAGAACUUGAGACUGGUCGUGAACAUGCUUUUUUGCAAGCUGAAGACAGAUUAUAGAUCAGUGCUGGCGCUGAUAUUAUACAUAAUAAACCAGUAUCACAUGAUUGCAAGUUAGAACAAGAAUCUGUUGGAAUCUCUCCUGAGCAGAUGCUGGCUGGUAAUAAGCAAUGGAUAAUCAUUCCUGUAAGUAUAUAUUUAUUGUAAUAACAAUGCAAUGUGUUAUGUUAUGUGAUAUGUCUAUUUUUGCCCAAUGGGGGAUGCAAUACUUUGAAUGUAGCUGAAUUAUUACACAGCUAAAACUUUUCUUGGUUACCGUAUUUUUCGUCACAAGCUCCGCACAUCGAUAAAAAGGAAAUUUUUUAAAAAAAAGUUAUAGUAAGCGCCGCAAUGGCGCUAAACCGCGCAUAUCAGCAUCCUUUUAGAAGAGACCUUUAAAUUACCAUUUAGAAUAUCUGUUUAAUAAAAAAUUUAAUUUUUUUAUGCAUUUCAUAAAGUAAAGUUUUAAUUUCUAAAUUAUAAUAAAAAAUUUCUUUUUCAGCAAAAAAAAAAA